AGGAUGAACGCUGGCGGCGUGCUUAACACAUGCAAGUCGAACGAUGAAGCCGGAGCUUGCUCUGGUGGAUUAGUGGCGAACGGGUGAGUAACACGUGAGUAACCUGCCCUUGACUCUGGGAUAAGCACUGGAAACGGUGUCUAAUACCGGAUACGAGCUUUAGCCGCAUGGCUAGGAGCUAGGAAAGUAAUUUCGGUACAAGGAUGGACUCGCGGCCUAUCGAGGUAGUUGGUGAGGUAACGGCCCACCAAGCCACGACGGGUAGCCGGCCUGAGAGGGUGACCGGCCACACGUGGGACUGACGACGACGGCCCAGACCUCCGUACGGGAGGCGAGGACGACGGUGGGGAAUAGUUGACUAACAA
rnacentral:rRNA from 1 species